AUGGUUUGACCUCGGAUCAGGUAGGGAUACCCGCUGAA
rnacentral:rRNA from 1 species